rnacentral:rRNA from 1 species
UACGGAAGGGGCUAGCGUUGUCCGAAGUUACUGGGCGUAAAGCGCGCGUAGGCGGGUUGGUAAGUCCGCUGUGAAAGCCCGGAGCUUAACUCCGGAGGGUCGGUGGAUACUGCCAGUCUUGAAGGUGCUAGGGGGAGAUGGAAUUACCGGUGUAGCGGUGAAAUGCGUAGAUAUCGGUAGGAACACCAGUGGCGAAGGCGGUCUCCUGGGGCAUUCUUGACGCUGAGGAGCGAAAGCAUGGGGAGCGAACAGG